GAUGAACGCUGGCGGCGUGCCUAAUACAUGCAAGUCGAGCGAACAGACGAGGAGCUUGCUCCUCUGACGUUGGCGGCGGACGGGUGAGUAACACGUGGAUAACCUACCUAUAAGACUGGGAUAACUUCGGGAAACCGCAGCUAAUACCGGAUAAUAUAUUGAACCGCAUGGUUCAAUAGUGAAAGACGGUUUUGCUGUCACUUAUAGAUGGAUCCGCGCCGCAUUAGCUAGUUGGUAAGGUAACGGCUUACCAAGGCAACGAUGCGUAGCCGACCUGAGAGGGUGAUCGGCCACACUGGAACUGAGACACGGUCCAGACUCCUACGGGAGGCAGCAGUAGGGAAUCUUGCGCAAUGGGCGAAAGCCUGACGGAGCAACGCCGCGUGAGUGAUGAAGGUCUUCGGAUCGUAAAACUCUGUUAUUAGGGAAGAACAAAUGUGUAAGUAACUAUGCACGUCUUGACGGUACCUAAUCAGAAAGCCACGGCUAACUACGUG
rnacentral:rRNA from 1 species